UACGGAGGGUGCAAGCGUUAUCCGGAUUUACUGGGUUUAAAGGGUGCGUAGGCGGCCUAUUAAGUCAGUGGUUAAAGACUCCGGCUCAACCGGAGGGCUGCCAUUGAUACUGAUUGGCUUGAGUACAGACGAGGUAAGCGGAAUUGAUGGUGUAGCGGUGAAAUGCAUAGAUACCAUCAAGAACACCGAUUGCGAAGGCAGCUUACUAGGGUGUAACUGACGCUGAGGCACGAAAGCGUGGGGAUCAAAC
rnacentral:rRNA from 1 species